CGCUAUCACUCCUACGGGAGGCAGCAGUGGGGAAUAUUGCACAAUGGGCGGAAGCCUGAUGCAGCGACGCCGCGUGAGGGAUGACGGCCUUCGGGUUGUAAACCUCUUUCAGCAGGGACGAAGCGUAAGUGACGGUACCUGCAGAAGAAGCACCGGCUAACUAUGUGCCAGCAGCCGCGGUAAUACGUAGGGUGCGAGCGUUGUCCGGAAUUACUGGGCGUAAAGAGCUCGUAGGCGGUUUGUCACGUCGUCUGUGAAAUCCUAGGGCUUAACCCUGGACGUGCAGGCGAUACGGGCUGACUUGAGUACUACAGGGGAGGACUGGAAUUUCUGGUGUAGCGGUGGAAUGCACAGAUAUCAGGAAGAACACCGAUGGCGAAGGCAGGUCUCUGGGUAGUAACUGACGCUGAGGAGCGAAAGCAUGGGUAGCGAACAGGAUUAGAUACCCUGGUAG
rnacentral:rRNA from 1 species